UCACGUGACCCCUUUCCCUCGGCCUGGGGAGGGGGGAUGCCAGUGAGUUAUCGCGAGAAGGGACGGAAGCCUAUGGGGGACCCGGCCUUUAAUGUGCGGUUCGGCCCCUCUCCCCGGGAAUUUAAGAGAAGCUGUUCCAGCCCCUUCAGUUCAUUGCCAUGAAAAGGAGAAUGUGAUAAACUAUUCACCCUAUGAAAUUUGGCUUACAUAUGAAAUCUACCAGGUAGUACAAGGACCUGUGGAAUAUGAGUGAUGACAAACCCUUUUUAUGCACUGCCCCUGGAUGUGGCCAGCGUUUUACCAACGAGGAUCAUUUGGCUGUCCAUAAACAUAAACAUGAGAUGACACUGAAAUUUGGUCCAGCUCGUAAUGACAGUGUCAUUGUGGCUGAUCAGACACCAACACCAACUAGAUUCUUGAAGAACUGUGAAGAAGUGGGUUUAUUUAAUGAGCUAGCAAGUCCUUUUGAAAAUGAAUUCAAAAAGGCUUCAGAAGAUGACAUUAAAAAAAUGCCUCUAGAUCUAUCUCCUCUUGCAACACCAAUCAUAAGAAAUAAAACUGAAGAACCUUCAGUUGUGGAGACAACUCAUCAGGAUAGUCCUUUACCUCAUCCAGAGUCCACUACCAGUGAUGAAAAGGAAGUGCCACUUCAGCAGACUGCACAGCCUACGUCAACAAUAGUUCGCCCAGCAUCAUUGCAGGUUCCUAAUGUACUGCUAACGAGUUCUGACUCAAGUGUUAUUAUACAGCAGGCAAUACCUUCACCAACUUCUAGCACGGUCAUUACCCAGGCUCCAUCCUCCAAUAGGCCAAUAGUACCAGUACCGGGUCCUUUUCCUCUGCUGUUACAUCUUCCUAAUGGACAAACUAUGCCUGUUGCCAUUCCUGCCUCAAUCACAAAUUCUAAUGUUCAUGUCCCUGCUGCAGUUCCACUUGUUAGACCUGUCACCAUGGUGCCUAGUAUCCCAGGAAUCCCAGGGCCCUCCUCCCCACAGCCAGUGCAGUCAGAGGCUAAAUUGAGAUUGAAAGCUGCCUUGACCCAACAGCAUCCUCAGGUCACAAAUGGAGAUACUGCCAAGGGACAUGCUAGUGGAUUGAUUAGGACUCAGUCAGAGGAAACCCGACCACAGUCAUUACAACAGCCUGCUACAUCAACUACAGAAACACCGGCUUCUCCAGCUCAGCCCACACCGCAAACCCAAAAUACAGGAGGUCGUCGAAGAAGAGCAGCAAAUGAAGACCCCGAUGAGAAAAGAAGGAAGUUUCUAGAGCGAAACCGUGCUGCUGCUUCAAGAUGUCGACAAAAAAGAAAAGUGUGGGUCCAGUCAUUGGAAAAGAAAGCAGAAGACUUGAGCUCAUUAAAUGGUCAAUUACAGGGGAGGUGUGGCCUGUCUUCCAGAGAGUGUCAUAUGUUGAAGAUCCAAGGAAAAUCCGUUAACAAACAAUGGCUAAAUGCAAGUGUGAAUGAAGUCACCCUGCUGAGAAAUGAAGUGGCACAGCUGAAACAGCUUCUUCUGGCUCAUAAAGAUUGCCCUGUAACUGCCAUGCAGAAGAAAUCUGGCUAUCAGACUGCAGAUAAAGAUGACAGUUCUGAAGACAUUUCAGUGCCAAGUAGUCCACAUACAGAAGCAAUUCAGCAUAGUUCUGUCAGCACUUCCAAUGGAGUAAGUUCAACCUCCAAGGCAGAAGCCGUAGCCACGUCAGUUCUCACCCAGAUGGCGGACCAGAGUACAGAGCCAGUGCUUUCACAGAUUGUUGUGGCUCCUUCCCAGUCACAACCUUCAGGAAGUUGAUUAAAAACUUGCAUUGCAACAGUUUCUUAGAUAUACACUUGUGACUUUAAAGGGAAAACAAGACCAGUCACUAUCUAAAAAAAGUAGCUUAAAAAUAUUCAUUUUUAAAAUUCAAAUUUAAAUUUGGCGUUAAAGAUUGGCAGAUCAAGAGGAGACUCAACAGUUUCUAGUCUCCUCGUAGAAUGAUUUUUUUUAAAAAAGUUAGUUUAUUAAUUAUUUUGAGUGCUCAAUGUGUAAAGUGUGUGAACAGUACAAUGUGGUUUAUUUCACUUUUAAUUUGGUAUGAUUUCAACCAACAUUGGGGUGAAUUGUUAAAGCUCAUCCCCAAGACUGUGAUAGUAAUAUUGUUAUGUGACAUUUUAUACCAAAGUUCUGCAUAGUCCCUAUUGACUUUGUAAUGUUAUCAAGGUCAUAAAGCACUAGGCAAGAGAAAAAGACAGUAACAGUGCAUUUGCUUUUAGUCUUUUUGCCUUUUUUAUUGUUUUGCACAUUGAGAGAAAGAACAUUGGGAGAAAAUGUUUGCUUUAUGUCAUAUGUACCAUUUUGUUUGGCUUGUUAAUUGUUUUGUUUGGUUUUUUUAAAAAAAAUUGUUUAACAGGGCCAGUAUGAUGUAGGGACAUAAAGUACUUUUAUGCACAUACGCAAAACAGGUGAGGGUUAUUACUAACUAGAUUUUCUUUAAAAACUGAUGCCAAUUUUUUCAACAUUUUAUUUUUAAAGGGGGAACUUUAUUUCUGCUGUCAAAACAGUGGACUGCAACUACCAUUUGAGGCUAGUAGUAAACAGAUGUUGUACAAUACAGGGUUAUCAGAUACGAAAUAAUUUUCAUAAAUAGCUUGAUACUUUGUGGAUUUUUGAAUCACAGACUAAGGAAUUUACUCAUACACACAUAUGGAUGCCAGAGAAGCCUAAGAGACCUUUGUUAAACAACACUUCUUCUCUUCUUUGUCAUUGUCUUGUAUUUGCAAGCUAACUUGUACUUAAUUCUUGUGUAAGCACUGUCAUCUUUUAGUAGCAAAAUUUUGAUACCUUUCUUGUGGAAAAAUCAGUAUCUACCAUAUCUUGGAAACAAUGUAAUUAUAAUGUGGGUGUGUAUGUGUGUGAGAAUGGUUCAGUAGUUUAUGCCAGCAGUCUUUGCUUGAAUGUUUAAAGAUGCCUUCAAUGUGAUGCUGGCUGAUAGAUUGCAGUUUAAAAAUGUUAUAUACAGUGCAAACUUGGGUAACUAACAUUCCAUGAUGUAUGUUUGUUUCUGAUGGUAUGAUUGUAGGUACACUUCUUCUCAUUAUCCAGUCAUCUGUGGGAUAUUGAGUUUUUUAAAUGUGCCAUUACCUAUUUGGAUUCUUUGCUCAUGUUCAAAAUAUAGUACAAUAUUUUACAAUAGAUUAUAUGUGGGGAGUAGGUUUGUGCUUUCAGGUCAGAAAACUUUGUAUAAUAGCAAAAGAAUAGCAAAUAUUGGCAGUAAGACAGGAUUCCAUUAUGUAUAUAACAAAGAUUUAAUGCAUUUAUAAUGGGUUGAGUAGUUCAUUUUCUCUUCCUUCUCCAUGCUACACUGUUUUAAAGCUCAGUGCUAUCCAAUUCCUUAUGAGAUUCAAUUUUAAAUAUAUGAAAUGUAAUUGGUAAUACAGAGGAAGAACAUAAUUUGUAUAAUAUACAACCGUACUAUAAUCAAAACUGGACAAAGACUUAUCUGAAUUGUGUGUAUAUCAUUUCAGUGCUGUAUGUGUGAAAAUAAUAGAAAUUCUAAAUAUUUUGUAUUUUAAAAACAAGGAAAUAAUUUUUGAGUUGCUAAACCCAUAUGUUUAAAUACUUUUACCAGUUUAAUGGGGGCAGUUAGUUAUUGAAAAAGUCCACAGUGGUAAAAUAUACCAUAAGUCUUGUGAGAAUGUAGUUGAUCUCAAAGGCACAAAAUGUGAAUUAUGCAGGUAUACAGUUAUUACUUUUCAUUGUAAUUUUAGCAAACUAGAUAAAAACCUCAUUGGUUACAUUAUCAUUCUCUCUCCUAAACACUAAGACAUUUUUACAUUAUUUAUUCAAGUGAUUUUUUUAAAUAAAGCUGUUGUGCCUGUAAAAUAAGUCUACGUAAGCGUGAGGAAACGUGUAAACAUUUUAAUGAAUUCAUCAAUGCCAUUGGGAAAGGAAUAAUAAUAAACCUGUCUGUGCUCAGCAAAUGGAGAAGUACAACUAUGAAUUCCGUUUUGAGACAUGUCACACUACUUCUGUACUUAGCAUUUUGAGUCUUUACAUUUGACAUGUUUCACAAACUGUACUGUUUUCUUUCAUAUGCAAUUUGCAUGAGUAAAUCAUCAGAGAAUAAUCUUUAAAUUAUGUUCCUAUUUUAAUGAAAUUAUAACUGUUUUAAAAUGUAGUGGUGUACUCAGACUUCUUUCUCUUGUUAGCAUUUAUAUGGAAAUAAGGACUAGAGUGUCAAUGUAACAUUUUAUAAAUGUAGAAGAACAACCCUGUAUUCUAGAGAUGGAGUCAAAUUCCGUUCUUCUACCCUUUGAUUCAAACCACUUUGCUUUGAAGAAUUAUUCUUACAUCAUUAGUUCCAGGAGCAGAAGAUGGGCAUCAGAAAGGAGUCUUGCAACAUAGCCUAUAGGUCACUGAUAUGGUUCAACCUGAUUUCUAUUUGCACUUUUGAUUUUCAAUAAAUCUUGGUACCUCAAUGAAGUGCUAGAAGACAGGAAGAAAGUAAGUGUUGUGCCAAUAUUUAAAAAGGGUGAACAGGAUUUCCCAGGUAAUUAUAGGCCUUGUCA